rfam:Ralstonia solanacearum GMI1000 chromosome complete sequence
GAAGCGGACCAGACAACCGCUGCUUCCGCGUGCUUGCACGACGGAAGGGGAGGAAAGUCCGGACUCCACAGGGCAGGGUGAUGGCUAACGACCAUCCACGGCGACGUGCGGAAUAGGGCCACAGAGACGAGUCUUCGCUCACGGCUUCGGCCAGGGCGAAGGGUGAAACGCGGUAACCUCCACCCGGAGCAAUCCCAAGUAAGCAGGCGAUGAAGCGGCCCGCCGAGCCUGCGGGUAGGGAGCUUGAGCCGGCCGGCAACGGUCGGUCUAGAGGAAUGGUUGUCACGCCGCGCGGUGUCAUGCCGCGCGGCGCACAGAAUCCGGCUUAUCGGUCCGCUUCGCGU